rnacentral:rRNA from 1 species
AUUGAACGCUGGCGGCAGGCUUAACCCAUGCAAGUCGAGCGAGCGGCGGACGGGUGAGUAAUGUCUGGGAAACUGCCUGAUGGAGGGGGAUAACUACUGGAAACGGUAGCUAAUAACGCAUACCAUCAGAUGUGCACAGAUGGUAUUAGCUAGUAGGUGGGGGAAUGGCUAACCUAGGCGACGAACCCUAGCUGGUCUGAGAGGAUGACCAGCUACACUGGAACGGAGACACGGUCCAGACUCCUACGUGAGGCAGCAGUGGGGAAUAUUGCCCAAGGGGCGCAAGCCUGAUGCAGCCAUGCCGCGUGUGUGUAGAGGGCCUUCGGGUUGUAAAGCACUUUCAGCGAGGAGGCGUUACUCGCAGAAGAAGCACCGGCUAACUCCGUGCCAGCAGCCGCGGUAAUAC